rnacentral:rRNA from 1 species
AGAGUUUGAUCCUGGCUCAGGACGAACGCUGGCGGCACGCUUAACACAUGCAAGUCGAACGAGAGAAGAGGAGCUUGCUUUUCUGAUCUAGUGGCGGACGGGUGAGUAACACGUGAGCAAUCUGCCUUUCAGAGGGGGAUACCGAUUGGAAACGAUCGUUAAUACCGCAUAACAUAAUUGAACCGCAUGAUUUGAUUAUCAAAGAUUUAUCGCUGAAAGAUGAGCUCGCGCCUGAUUAGCUAGUUGGUAAGGUAACGGCUUACCAAGGCGACGAUCAGUAGCCGGACUGAGAGGUUGAUCGGCCACAUUGGGACUGAGACACGGCCCAGACUCCUACGGGAGGCAGCAGUGGGGAAUAUUGCACAAUGGAGGAAACUCUGAUGCAGCGAUGCCGCGUGAGGGAAGAAGGUUUUAGGAUUGUAAACCUCUGUCUUCAGGGACGAAAAAAAACGGUACCUGAGGAGGAAGCUCCGGCUAACUACGUGCCAGCAGCCGCGGUAAUACGUAGGGAGCGAGCGUUGUCCGGAAUUACUGGGUGUAAAGGGAGCGUAGGCGGGAUCGCAAGUCAGAUGUGAAAACUAUGGGCUUAACCCAUAAACUGCAUUUGAAACUGUGGUUCUUGAGUGAGGUAGAGGUAAGCGGAAUUCCUAGUGUAGCGGUGAAAUGCGUAGAUAUUAGGAGGAACAUCAGUGGCGAAGGCGGCUUACUGGGCUUUAACUGACGCUGAGGCUCGAAAGCGUGGGGAGCAAACAGGAUUAGAUACCCUGGUAGUCCACGCCGUAAACGAUGAUUACUAGGUGUGGGGGGACUGACCCCUUCCGUGCCGCAGCAAACGCAAUAAGUAAUCCACCUGGGGAGUACGACCGCAAGGUUGAAACUCAAAGGAAUUGACGGGGGCCCGCACAAGCAGUGGAGUAUGUGGAUUAAUUCGAAGCAACGCGAAGAACCUUACCAGGUCUUGACAUCGUAUGCAUAGCUCAGAGAUGAGUGAAAUCUCUUCGGAGACAUAUAGACAGGUGGUGCAUGGUUGUCGUCAGCUCGUGUCGUGAGAUGUUGGGUUAAGUCCCGCAACGAGCGCAACCCUUACUGUUAGUUGCUACGCAAGAGCACUCUAGCAGGACUGCCGUUGACAAAACGGAGGAAGGUGGGGAUGACGUCAAAUCAUCAUGCCCCUUAUGACCUGGGCCUCACACGUACUACAAUGGCUGACAACAGAGGGAAGCAAAGCCGCGAGGUGGAGCGAACCCCUAAAAGCAGUCUUAGUUCGGAUUGUAGGCUGCAACCCGCCUACAUGAAGUCGGAAUUGCUAGUAAUCGCAGAUCAGCAUGCUGCGGUGAAUACGUUCCCGGGCCUUGUACACACCGCCCGUCACGCCAUGGGAGUCGGUAACACCCGAAGCCUGUAGUCUAACCGCAAGGAGGACGCAGUCGAAGGUGGGAUUGAUGACUGGGGUGAAGUCGUAACAAGGUA